rnacentral:rRNA from 1 species
UACAGAGGUGGCGAGCGUUGUUCGGAUUUACUGGGCGUAAAGGGCGCGUAGGCGGCUAUGUGUGUGGGGUGUGAAAUCCCAGGGCUCAACCCUGGAAGUGCGCCCCAAACUGCAUGGCUUGAGUGCGGGAGGGGAGAUCGGAAUACAUGGUGUAGCGGUGAAAUGCGUUGAUAUCAUGUAGAACACCGGUGGCGAAGGCGGAUCUCUGGAACGCAACUGACGCUGAGGCGCGAAAGUCGGGGGAGCAAACAGGAUUAGAUACCCUGGUAGUCCCGACCUUAAACGGUGCACACUUGAGGUGGGGGGAUUUCACCCCCCCCGUCUCGGAGCUAACGCGUUAAGUGUGCCGCCUGGGGAGUACGGCCGCAAGGUUA